GCUCCCAGCGUGAGCGACGCAGAAGACGGGUGAUUUCUGCAUUUCCAUCUGAGGUACCGGGUUCAUCUCACUAGGGAGUGCCAGACAGUGGGCGCACGCAGGAUACUCAAACUUGAAACCAACCUACCUUAUCGUGAGGAAGCCUGGUUCAAAUGGAGAGGCCAAUGUAGGUGUACAACAGACAGUCCCAGCUGAAAGGCCCAGCUUGCACACAACAUCACUGCCAGACGAAUGAGAAGGGCCUUAUGAUGAUUCCAGCAUCAGACAUUUGACUUGGCCCAGCUUUUGCUGAACUGCAUCUUAAAUGGGCUCUUGCUAUAUUUGGCCUGACUGGUCUUGAACUCCUGGACUCAAGUGGAGCUCCUGCCUCGACCUUCUGAAGUACUGGGACUACAAGCAUAAGCCACUGUGCCUAGCUACUUGCUGUGUUUUAAAGCAAGACCAACACUCUUCCUCCUCCUCUGCCUACUCAAUGUGAAGACAAUGAGGAUGAACACCUUUAUGAUGCUCCACUUCCACUUAUUGAAUACAAUUUGACGUACGACAUUCUAAUCCCUUCUGGACUGCAAGGUUUCUGCAGAAAAAUUUCAUGAUGGUGCUACACAUGAAACUUGUAACCAGUUACUACAGGCGAAAGCAAAUCCAUGUCUUCAGGCUGGUGUCAUCAGGGAGAG
rnacentral:lncRNA from 1 species